CCAAUAGCGUAUAUUAAAGUUGUUGCAGUUAAAAAGCUCGUAGUUGAAUUUCGGGACUAAUAUGUCGGUCGUACUUUGUACGUACUAGCAUUAUUGGUUUCUCCCUUCUGACGAACCACGAUGUCAUUAAUUUGGUGUCAUGGGAAAUCAGGACUGUUACUUUGAAAAAAUUAGAGUGUUUAAAGCAAGCUCGCGCUUGAAUACAUUAGCAUGGAGUAAU
rnacentral:rRNA from 1 species